rnacentral:rRNA from 1 species
AUUGAACGCUGGCGGCAUGCUUUACACAUGCGAGUCGAACGGUAACAGGCCUUCGGGUGCUGACGAGUGGCGAACGGGUGAGUAAUGCAUCGGAACGUACCCAGAGGUGGGGGAUAACGCAGCGAAAGCUGUGCUAAUACCGCAUGUGAUCUGAGGAUGAAAGCGGGGGACCGAGCAGCAAUGUUUGGCCUCGCGCCUUUGGAGCGGCCGAUGUCGGAUUAGCUAGUUGGUGGGGUAAAGGCCUACCAAGGCGACGAUCCGUAGCUGGUCUGAGAGGACGACCAGCCACACUGGGACUGAGACACGGCCCAGACUCCUACGGGAGGCAGCAGUGGGGAAUUUUGGACAAUGGGCGCAAGCCUGAUCCAGCAAUGCCGCGUGCGGGAAGAAGGCCUUCGGGUUGUAAACCGCUUUUGGCAGGAACGAAACGGUGUCCGCUAAUACCGGGCGCUAAUGACGGUACCUGCAGAAUAAGCACCGGCUAGCUACGUG